GAAUAUUGGACAAUGGGCGAAAGCCUGAUCCAGCCAUGCCGCGUGCAGGAUGACGGCCCUAUGGGUUGUAAACUGCUUUUAUACGGGAAUAAACCCCUCUACGUGUAGAGGUCUGAAGGUACCGUAAGAAUAAGGACCGGCUAACUCCGUGCCAGCAGCCGCGGUAAUACGGAGGGUCCAAGCGUUAGCCGGAUUUAUUGGGUUUAAAGGGUCCGCAGGCGGGAUAUUAAGUCAGUGGUGAAAGCCUACAGCUUAACUGUAGCACUGCCAUUGAUACUGGUAUUCUUGAGUGUUGGUGAAGUGGGCGGAAUAUGUCAUGUAGCGGUGAAAUGCAUAGAUAUGACAUAGAACACCUAUUGCGAAGGCAGCUCACUAAGCCAUUACUGACGCUCAGGGACGAAAGCGUGGGUAGCAAACAGG
rnacentral:rRNA from 1 species